GGGGAAUAUUGCACAAUGGAGGAAACUCUGAUGCAGCGAUGCCGCGUGAGGGAAGAAGGUUUUAGGAUUGUAAACCUCUGUCUUCAGGGACGAAAAAAGGACGGUACCUGAGGAGGAAGCUCCGGCUAACUACGUGCCAGCAGCCGCGGUAAUACGUAGGGAGCGAGCGUUGUCCGGAAUUACUGGGUGUAAAGGGAGCGUAGGCGGGAUCGCAAGUCAGAUGUGAAAACUAUGGGCUUAACCCAUAAACUGCAUUUGAAACUGUGGUUCUUGAGUGAAGUAGAGGUAAGCGGAAUUCCUAGUGUAGCGGUGAAAUGCGUAGAUAUUAGGAGGAACACCAGUGGCGAAGGCGGCCUGCUGGGCUUUAACUGACGCUGAGGCACGAAAGCGUGGGUAGCAAACAGGAUUAGAUACCCUGGUAGUCCACGCUGUAAACGAUGAUUACUAGGUGUGGGGGGUCUGACCCCUUCCGUGCCGGAGUUAACACAAUAAGUAAUCCACCUGGGGAGUACGGCCGCAAGGUUGAAACUCAAAGGAAUUGACGGGGGCCCGCACAAGCAGUGGAGUAUGUGGUUUAAUUCGAAGCAACGCGAAGAACCUUACCAGGUCUUGACAUCCAACUAACGAAGUAGAGAUACAUUAGGUGCCCUUCGGGGAAAGUUGAGACAGGUGGUGCAUGGUUGUCGUCAGCUCGUGUCGUGAGAUGUUGGGUUAAGUCCCGCAACGAGCGCAACCCUUGCUAUUAGUUGCUACGCAAGAGCACUCUAAUAGGACUGCCGUUGACAAAACGGAGGAAGGUGGGGACGACGUCAAAUCAUCAUGCCCCUUAUGACCUGGGCUACACACGUACUACAAUGGAUGUUAACAGAGGGAAGCAAGACAGCGAUGUGGAGCAAACCCCUAAAAACAUUCUCAGUUCAGAUUGCAGGCUGCAACCCGCCUGCAUGAAGAUGGAAUUGCUAGUAAUCGCGGAUCAGCAUGCCGCGGUGAAUACGUUCCCG
rnacentral:rRNA from 2 species